GAUGAACGCUAGCGGCAGGCUUAAUACAUGCAAGUCGAGGGGCAGCGGGGUAGCAAUACCGCCGGCGACCGGCAAACGGGUGCGGAACACGUACGCAACCUUCCCAUAACUGGUGAAUAGCCUUUCGAAAGAGAGAUUAAUACACCGUAACAUAACGAGCAGGCAUCUGCUUGUUAUUAUAGGCUUCGGCCGGUUUUGGAUGGGCGUGCGCCUGAUUAGGUAGUUGGCGGGGUAACGGCCCACCAAGCCUGCGAUCAGUAACUGGUGUGAGAGCACGACCAGUCACACGGGCACUGAGACACGGGCCCGACUCCUACGGGAGGCAGCAGUAAGGAAUAUUGGACAAUGGGCGCAAGCCUGAUCCAGCAAUGCCGCGUGGGUGAAGAAGGUCUUCGGAUUGUAAAGCCCUUUCGAC
rnacentral:rRNA from 1 species